rnacentral:rRNA from 1 species
AAGCAUCGGCUAACUCCGUGCCAGCGGCCGCGGUAAUACGGAGGAUGCAAGCGUUAUCCGGAAUCAUUGGGCGUAAAGGGUCCGCAGGUGGCGAAUAAAGUCUGCUGUUAAAGACCGGGGCUAAACUCCGGAAAGGCAGUGGAAACUGAUUAGCUAGAGUACGGUAGGGGUAGAGGGAAUUCCCAGUGUAGCGGUGAAAUGCGUAGAUAUUGGGAAGAACACCGGUGGCGAAAGCGCUCUACUAGGCCGAAACUGACACUGAGGGACGAAAGCUAGGGUAGCGAAAGGGAUUAGAUACCCCUGUAGUCUUAGCGGUAAACGAUGGAUACUAGGUGUAGCUUGUAUCGACCCGAGCUGUGCCGAAGCUAACGCGAUAAGUAUCCCGCCUGGGGAGUACGCACGCAAGUGUGAAACUCAAAGGAAUUGACGGGGGCCCGCACAAGCGGUGGAGUAUGUGGUUUAAUUCGAUGCAACGCGAAGAACCUUACCAGGGCUUGACAUGUCGCGAAUCUAGCGGAAACGUUAGAGUGCCUUAGGGAAUGCGAACACAGGUGGUGCAUGGCUGUCGUCAGCUCGUGUCGUGAGAUGUUGGGUUAAGUCCCGCAACGAGCGCAACCCUCGUCCUUAGUUGCCAAUAUUAAGUUAGGCACUCUAGGGAGACUGCCGGGGACAACUCGGAGGAAGGUGGGGAUGACGUCAAGUCAGCAUGCCCCUUACGUCCUGGGCGACACACGUACUACAAUGGUUGGGACAAAGGGCAGCAAACUCGCGAGAGUAAGCGAAUCUCAUCAAACCCAGCCACAGUUCAGAUUGCAGGCUGCAACUCGCCUGCAUGAAGUAGGAAUCGCUAGUAAUCGCAGGUCAGCAUACUGCGGUGAAUUCGUUCCCGGGCCUUGUACACACCGCCCGUCACACCAUGGAAGCUGGCUACGCCCGAAGUCGUUACCCUAACCCGGUUUUGGGAGGGGGAUGCCGAAGGUAGAGCUAGUGACUGGGGUGAAGUCGUAACAAGGUAGCCGUACCGGAAGGUGUGGCUGGAUCACCUCCUUU